UGGGGAAUUUUGGACAAUGGGCGAAAGCCUGAUCCAGCAAUGCCGCGUGUGUGAAGAAGGCCUUCGGGUUGUAAAGCACUUUUGUCCGGAAAGAAAUCCUUGGGCUCUAAUACAGUCGGGGGAUGACGGUACCGGAAGAAUAAGCACCGGCUAACUACGUGCCAGCAGCCGCGGUAAUACGUAGGGUGCAAGCGUUAAUCGGAAUUACUGGGCGUAAAGCGUGCGCAGGCGGUUUGCUAAGACCGAUGUGAAAUCCCCGGGCUCAACCUGGGAACUGCAUUGGUGACUGGCAGGCUAGAGUAUGGCAGAGGGGGGUAGAAUUCCACGUGUAGCAGUGAAAUGCGUAGAGAUGUGGAGGAAUACCGAUGGCGAAGGCAGCCCCCUGGGCCAAUACUGACGCUCAUGCACGAAAGCGUGGGGAGCAAACAGGAUUAGAUACCCUGGUAGUCCACGCCCUAAACGAUGUCAACUAGUUGUUGGGGAUUCAUUUCCUUAGUAACGUAGCUAACGCGUGAAGUUGACCGCCUGGGGAGUACGGUCGCAAGAUUAAAACUCAAAUGAAUUGACGGGGUCAUAGCUGUUUCCU
rnacentral:rRNA from 1 species